UCUGGUUUGAAUAGUAUGACCAGUUUUGAUGUUUAUUUAAAUACUGACAUUUUGCUAAACAACUUUAUUAUAAUUUCAUAAGAUAAUAUUUGCAACCUCAUGACACUGUAACAGUUUUGAAUGUAUUUGCAAUUUUCAAAAACUGAGUCAAAAUUGUUUUGAAUGAACAUAUUUUAAUAAACUACAUCUGGUCAGUUCCACUGUUU
rnacentral:lncRNA from 1 species